UACGAAGGGGGCUAGCGUUGUUCGGAAUCACUGGGCGUAAAGCGCACGUAGGCGGAUUUUUAAGUCAGGGGUGAAAUCCCGGGGCUCAACCUCGGAACUGCCUUUGAUACUGGAGAUCUUGAGUCCGGAAGAGGUAAGUGGAACUGCGAGUGUAGAGGUGAAAUUCGUAGAUAUUCGCAAGAACACCAGUGGCGAAGGCGGCUUACUGGUCCGGAACUGACGCUGAGGUGCGAAAGCGUGGGGAGCGAACGGG
rnacentral:rRNA from 1 species